rnacentral:rRNA from 1 species
GUUGUAUAGUCAAGUAAUUAAGUGCAUGUGGUGGAUGCCUUGGCAGUCAGAGGCGAUGAAAGACGUGAUAGCCUGCGAAAAGCUCCGGGGAGGCGGCAAAUAUCCUUUGAUCCGGAGAUGUCUGAAUGGGGGAACCCACCUACUUUAAGGUAGGUAUUGCAACAUGAAUACAUAGUGUUGCAAGGCGAACGAGGGGAAGUGAAACAUCUCAGUACCCUUAGGAAAAGAAAUCAAUUGAGAUUCCCUCAGUAGCGGCGAGCGAACGGGGAUCAGCCCAUUAAGUUAUGUGUGUUUUAGUGGAACGCUCUGGGAAGUGCGAACGUAGAGGGUGAUAUUCCCGUACACGAAAGGGCACACAUAAUGAUGACGAGUAGGGCGAGGCACGUGAAACCUUGUCUGAAUAUGGGGGGACCAUCCUCCAAGGCUAAAUACUCCUGACUGACCGAUAGUGAACCAGUACCGUGAGGGAA